rnacentral:lncRNA from 1 species
CAAGUGGAAAGUUGAUGCGAAAGACCAUCACAAUGGGACAGAAGGCAGCUAUCUAAAGGCUGUCGCGUCAGGUGCCAAGUCGCGUGUUGCACACGCCGAAGAUACUUUUGCUGUUUUAUUCAAAUUCCAUUGCAUGCAUGGCCAUGUAGCGGUUCCGCGGGCCGCAACACCG